rnacentral:lncRNA from 1 species
GAGACCCGGGCUUCUCUCCCCGCGGGUCAGCAGGGCACCGCCUCCACACCCCAGCCUGCCCUCCUAGGGACAGAAAUCUCCAAAACCCACGUCCUACACGGCCAGGCUGCUGAAGCACCCUGGAUGCCUACUGUGUACCAGCGCUACUGUUUCUUUUUGCUGGGAUUCAGCUCUGCUAUCACAAAGAUAGUGAAGGUCCCUGCUAACAGCUCUCCGUGGUCUACUGGAGGCCUGGGUCACAUGCGGACAGCGUCUACAGGGUCUGGAGCAAUCAUGACUCACUAGCUUUGACCUCCUGGGCUCAAUCGAUCCUCCAGCCUCAGCCUCCUGAGCAGCUGGGACUACAGGUGUGUGCC